GAUGAACGCUGGCGGCGUGCUUAACACAUGCAAGUCGAACGGUAAGGCCCUUCGGGGUACACGAGUGGCGAACGGGUGAGUAACACGUGGGUGAUCUGCCCUGCACUUCGGGAUAAGCCUGGGAAACUGGGUCUAAUACCGGAUAGGACUCCGGACUGCAUGGUCUGGGGUGGAAAGCUUUUGCGGUGUGGGAUGGGCCCGCGGCCUAUCAGCUUGUUGGUGGGGGGAUGGCCUACAAAGGCGACGACGGGUAGCCGGCCUGAGAGGGUGACCGGCCACACGGGGACUGAGAUACGGCCCAGACUCCUACGGGAGGCAGCAGGGGGGAAUAUUGCACAAUGGGCGCUAGCCUGAUGCAGCGACGCCGCGUGAGGGAUGACGGCCUUCGGGUUGUAAACCUCUUUCAGCACCGACGAAGCGCAAGUGACGGUAGGUGCAGAAGAAGGACCGGCCAACUACGUGCCAGCCGCCGCCGUAA
rnacentral:rRNA from 1 species